rnacentral:tRNA from 5 species
GGGCCCGUAGCUCAGUGGUAGAGCAGUUGACUUUUAAUCAAUUGGUCGAAGGUUCGAAUCCUUCCGGGCUCACCA